GCUUACGACCAUACCGCGUUGAAAGCACCAGUGCUCGUCCGAUCAUUGAAGUUAACCAACGACAAGCGCAGUUAGUACUAGUAGUACUAGCUUUGGCGACACUUGGGAACACUUACGUAGACUACUCU
rnacentral:rRNA from 1 species